UGGCUAGUGGGUCUGGGUAGGAGUGAUGUAGUUGAUGGAGAUAGGGGUGAUGGCUAGUGGGUCUGGGUAGGAGUGAUGUAGUUGAUGGAGAUAGGGGUGAUGGCUAGUGGGUCUGGGUAGGAGUGAUGUAGUUGAUGGAGAUAGGGGUGAUGGCUAGUGGGUCUGGGUAGGAGUGAUGUAGUUGAUGGAGAUAGAGGUGAUGGCUAGUGGGUCUGGGUAGGAGUGAUGUAGUUGAUGGAGAUACGGGUGAUGGCUAGUGGGUCUGGGUAGGAGUGAUGUAGUUGAUGGAGAUAGGGGUGAUGGCUAGUGGGUCUGGGUAGGAGUGAUGUAGUUGAUGGAGAUAGGGGUGAUGGCUAGUGGGUCUGGGUAGGAGUGAUGUAGUUGAUGGAGAUAGGGGUGAUGGCUAGUGGGUCUGGGUAGGAGUGAUGUAGUUGAUGGAGAUAGAGGUGAUGGCUAGUGGGUCUGGGUAGGAGUGAUGUAGUUGAUGGAGAUAGGGGUGAUGGCUAGUGGGUCUGGGUAGGAGUGAUGUAGUUGAUGGAGAUAGAGGUGAUGGCUCGUGGGUCUGGGUAGGAGUGAUGUAGUUGAUGGAGAUAGGGGUGAUGGCUAGUGGGUCUGGGUAGGAGUGAUGUAGUUGAUGGAGAUAGGGGUGAUGGCUAGUGGGUCUGGGUAGGAGUGAUGUAGUUGAUGGAGAUAGGGGUGAUGGCUAGUGGGUCUGGGUAGGAGUGAUGUAGUUGAUGGAGAUAGGGGUGAUGGCUAGUGGGUCUGGGUAGGAGUGAUGUAGUUGAUGGAGAUAGGGGUGAUGGCUAGUGGGUCUGGGUAGGAGUGAUGUAGUUGAUGGAGAUAGAGGUGAUGGCUCGUGGGUCUGGGUAGGAGUGAUGUAGUUGAUGGAGAUAGGGGUGAUGGCUAGUGGGUCUGGGUAGGAGUGAUGUAGUUGAUGGAGACAGGGGUGAGGGCUAGUGGGUCUGGGUAGGAGUGAUGUAGUUGAUGGAGAUAGGGGUGAUGGCUAGUGGGUCUGGGUAGGAGUGAUGUAGUUGAUGGAGAUAGGGGUGAGGGCUAGUGGGUCUGGGUAGGAGUGAUGUAGUUGAUGUUUGUAUGAUGUCUGUUUUGUACUAAUAAAAUAUAAAAUAAAAUCGUAUAAAAAAAUUAAUAAAGGUCAUGUUUUAACAUAUUAAUAAGCAGAAUGGGAUUCAAUUUGAAGGGCAGGGACAGCGAGGAGUAUUAAGAUCAGCUUAAGCAAUACACCAUGCAGCGUACGUAAACAACACUAUGAAGUUAAAUGCAGUUAGUGCAGUUGGAAUGUUAGUGAUCUGAGGGGGAUCAGACAGGUUUAGCCUUACAGGCUUCUAUUCUCCAUCCUCCUUAGACUUAAACAAUAACACAGGCUUUGACAUCUAAACCGCCUAGCAACCCAACACUCAUACCCCUCUCUCUCUCAUAUCCUCCCUCUAUCCCUGUACUCAACGGUGCGUAUCUGUUCUCAUGUCACCAUGCACACAAAGAAGACAGCUGCUGAGAGCAGAACAGUUGGACAAGGAGACAAAUUACCAACCAUAGAGCCACAGUUGGUCCUGGAUGUCCGUCUGCAUCCCAAACAGCAACCUACAGGGUGUCUGUCUGCAUCCCAAACAGCACACUACAGGGUGUUUGUCUGCAUCCCAAACGGCACCCUACAGGGUGUCUGUCUGCAUCCCAAACAGCACCCUACAGGGUGUAUGUCUGCAUCCCAAACAGCAACCUACAGGGUGUCUGUCUGCAUCCCAAACAGCACACUACAGGGUGUCCGUCUGCAUCCCAAACGGCACCCUACAGGGUGUCCGUCUGCAUCCCAAACGGCACCCUACAGGGUGUAUGUCUGCAUCCCAAACAGCACCCUACAGGGUGUCCGUCUGCAUCCCAAACGGCACCCUACAGGGUGUAUGUCUGCAUCCCAAACAGCACACUACAGGGUGUCCGUCUGCAUCCCAAACGGCACCCUACAGGGUGUAUGUCUGCAUCCCAAACAGCACCCUACAGGGUGUCUGUCUGCAUCCCAAACAGCACCCUACAGGGUGUCUGUCUGCAUCCCAAACAGCACACUACAGGGUGUCCGUCUGCAUCCCAAACGGCACCCUACAGGGUGUCCACCCACUCUGCCCAGAGUGGGUGAAAACGGAAUUUGGUGAGGAAAUUUCACUUCCUUAUGUUGUAAAGUACAUUUUAACAAGACAAAUAUGAUUAUUCAUGUUUUGAAUAGUUCAGUGGGUUCUUUCUCUAACAUAUCAUUAACAUUACAGUUGAAGUCGGAAGUCGGUUAAGACAACUGCUUUGUGCAUGACACAAGUCAUUUUUCAACAAUUGUUAACAGACAGAUUAUUUCACUUAUAAUGCACUGUAUCACAAUUCCAGUGGGUCAGAAGUUUACAUACACUAAGUUGACUGUGCCUUUAAACAGCUUGUAACACUUCAGAAAAUGAUGUCGUGGCUUUAGAAGCUUCUAAUAGGCUAAUUUACAUUAUUUGAGUCAAUUGGAGGUGUACCUGUGGAUGCAUUUCAAGGCCUACUUUCAAACUCAGUGCCUCCUUGCUUGACAUCAUGGGAAAAUCAUAAGAAAUCAGCCAAGACCUCAGAAAAACAAUUGUAGACCUCCACAAGUCUGGUUUAUCCUUGGGAGCAAUUUCCAAACAUCUGAAGGUACCAUGUUCAUCUGUACAAACAAUAGUACGCAAGUAUAAACACCAUGGGACCACGCAGCCGUCAUACCGCUCUGGAAGGAGACCCAUUCUGUCUCCUAGAAAUGAACGUACUUUGGUGCGAAAAGUGCAAAUAAUUCCCAGAACAACAGCAAAGGACCUUGUGAAGACGCUGGAGGAAACAGGUACAAAAGUAUCUAUACCCACAAGUAAAACGAGUCCUAUAUCGACAUAGAUCGUACUUUUUGGAGAAAUGUCCUCUGGUCUGAUGAAACGAAAAUAGAACUGUUUGGCCAUAUUGACCAUCCUUAUGUUUAGAGGAAAAAGGGGGAGGCUUGCAAGCCGAAGAACACCAUCCCAAACGUGAAGCACGGGGGUGGCAGCA